CAGGCUUAACACAUGCAAGUCGAACGAAGGCUCCUCUUCGGAGGAUGUCCUUAGUGGCGGACGGGUGAGUAACGCGUGGGAAUUUUGCCUUUUCGGCACGGAAUAACUAAGGGAAACUUUUGGCUAAUACCGCAUACGCCCUACGGGGGAAAGAUUUUAUCGCCGAUUGAGAAGCCCCGCGUCGGAUUUAGCUUGUUGGUGAGGUAAUGGCUCACCAAGGCGACGAUCCGUAGCUGGUCUGAGAGGAUGACCAGCCACACUGGGACUGAGACACGGCCCAGACUCC
rnacentral:rRNA from 1 species